rnacentral:rRNA from 1 species
AGUGAACGCUGGCGGUAGGCCUAACACAUGCAAGUCGAACGGCAGCACAGUAAGAGCUUGCUCUUACGGGUGGCGAGUGGCGGACGGGUGAGGAAUACAUCGGAAUCUACUUUUUCGUGGGGGAUAACGUAGGGAAACUUACGCUAAUACCGCAUACGACCUACGGGUGAAAGCAGGGGAUCUUCGGACCUUGCGCGAUUGAAUGAGCCGAUGUCGGAUUAGCUAGUUGGCGGGGUAAAGGCCCACCAAGGCGACGAUCCGUAGCUGGUCUGAGAGGAUGAUCAGCCACACUGGAACUGAGACACGGUCCAGACUCCCACGGGAGGCAGCAGUGGGGAAUAUUGGACAAUGGGCGCAAGCCUGAUCCAGCCAUACCGCGUGGGUGAAGAAGGCCUGCGGGUUGUAAAGCCCUUUUGUUGGGAAAGAAAAGCAGCAGGUUAAUACCCCGCUGUUCUGACGGUACCCAAAGAAUAAGCACCGGCUAACUUCGU